rnacentral:rRNA from 1 species
AUGGGAACGCGAAGAACCUUACCUAGACUUGACAUCUCCUGAAUAGUGUAGAGAUACAUGAAGCCCUUCGGGGCAGGAAGACAGGUGGUGCAUGGUUGUCGUCAGCUCGUGUCGUGAGAUGUUGGGUUAAGUCCCGCAACGAGCGCAACCCUUAUUACUAGUUGCUACCAUUAAGUUGAGCACUCUAGUGAGACUGCCCGGGUUGACCGGGAGGAAGGCGGGGAUGACGUCAAAUCAUCAUGCCCCUUAUGUCUAGGGCAACACACGUGCUACAAUGGUGAGUACAGAUAGAUGCGAUACCGCAAGGUGGAGCCAAACUCUAAAACUCAUCCCAGUUCGGAUUGUAGGCUGCAACUCGCCUACAUGAAGUUGGAGUUGCUAGUAAUCGCGAAUCAGAAUGUCGCGGUGAAUACGUUCCCGGGUCUUGUACACACCG